GAGCAGAGAGGAGGGAGGUCUGAACUCACAAGGAACUAAACUCACUUUUCAGAAAUUCAGUUUAAAGCUGUCGACACCAAACUGCAACAAAAGGUUAUUCCGAAGCAGAAUCUCUCCAUCCACGACUCGCUCCGACGAGACAUCUUUAAGGCAUCUUUACAGCCGGCGGCGUCGACUCACAUCCCCUCUCUCUCUCUCUCUCUCUCUCUCUCUCUCUCUCUCAUAAAGCCUCCCACUCAGUCCCCCUCUCCUAGACCAAAGAGAUGCUUGUGAAUAUUUAAUGGAGCUAUUGUGCUCGUGUGUGAGCGAGUGAAUGGGCAGCGUUGGCAGCGAGUCCGAACUUUCUGAAAGAAAAAUGGUCGGCCCGCCUCGGAGCGGCAGGGACAGAGGCAGCGGGGAGGGGUCAGAGGUCACCGACCCUCACCUGCUGAACAGCUGAGCAGACAUCUAGACAGGAACUCGCUGUAGCAUCAUCCCCGGUCGUGGUGGUGGAGAAAUGAGGCAGGACCUGGCGGGACCCCCCCCCCCCCUCUUUUACAAGGCAAGAGAAAUGGGCUGGGGGUUGCCCAACACAGGAACGAUUUUACUUUUCUGAUCCAGAUUAAUAAUAAAAAAAAUAUUAUCGACAAAUAAAUUCUAACGGAUUAUUAAAGACUUCAUUGAAUUUAAAUGAAAACUUUCAGGUGACAGAAUAUUUCUACUCCAGUGUUGCUGCUUUUAUUUAAAUAAACUGUGGCACUACUUCUUCCACCAUCGGACGUUUCACCUUCAUAUUCAGCUGCUGAAGCGGGAAAGUGUCUCUGUGCUCGUCUUAAAUCCCAGUUUACCUCCGAGAAUGAUUGUGACGACGCAGCGAGCUGGUUCCGAGGCCACUUUUUUAUUUUAACAAAUAUCAGACAAACUUAAUUCAAGUGUUUUUUCGUGUGUUGAAACAUGUGGAGAGGAAUCACUCAGCAAGAAGAUUCCAGAUGAGGAAACACAAAACUCCAUCUAAAAGAUUCCACAUGAAAUAUAUUUUCUCAUCUCAACAUUCAUUGUUAUAAUGUACGAUGACUGAUCUUGAAGAUAUGAGUAAAUGAAAGAA